GUCCACGCCCUAAACGAUGUCAACUAGGUGUUGGAAGGGUAAAACCUUUUAGUACCGGAGCUAACGCGUGAAGUUGACCGCCUGGGGAGUACGGCCGCAAGGUUAAACUCAAAGGAAUUGACGGGGACCCGCACAAGCGGUGGAUGAUGUGGAUUAAUUCGAUGCAACGCGAAAAACCUUACCUACCCUUGACAUGUCCAGGAGCCCUUAGAGAUUUGGGUGUGCCCGAAAGGGAACUGGAACACAGGUGCUGCAUGGCUGUCGU
rnacentral:rRNA from 1 species